UGGGGAAUCUUGCACAAUGGAGGAAACUCUGAUGCAGCGACGCCGCGUGAGCGAAGAAGCCUUUCGGGGUGUAAAGCUCUUACGCAAGGGACGAUAAUGACGGUACCUGGAGAAGCAGCUGCGGCUAACUACGUGCCAGCAGCCGCGGUAAUACGUAGGCAGCAAGCGUUGUUCGGAAUUACUGGGCGUAAAGGGUGCGUAGGCGGCGCUCUAAGUUUGGUGUGAAAUCUCCCGGCUUAACUGGGAGGGUGCACUGAAAACUGGGGCGCUCGAGUAUGGGAGAGGAAGGCGGAAUUCCUGGUGUAGCGGUGAAAUGCGUAGAGGUCAGGAGGAACACCUGCGGUGCAGACGGCUUUCUGGACCAUCACUGGCGCUGAGGCACGAAAGCGUGGG
rnacentral:rRNA from 1 species